rnacentral:rRNA from 1 species
UACGUAGGUGGCAAGCGUUGUCCGGAUUUACUGGGCGUAAAGAGCGCGCAGGCGGUCAGAUAAGUCGAAUGUGAAAGCCCCCGGCUCAACUGGGGAGGGUCAUUCGAUACUGUUCGACUCGAAGGCAGGAGAGGGAAGUGGAAUUCCUGGUGUAGCGGUGAAAUGCGCAGAUAUCAGGAAGAACACCGGUGGCGAAGGCGGUUCUCUGGGCAUGUCCUGACGCUGAGGAGCGAAAGUGUGGGGAGCGAACAGG